GUGCUUGCGCGCUUCACACCGCCGGGUGCUCCAUUGGUGGAAACCUGUUCCAAGCAGACGACAGCGAAUCGAGGGAAAGGGAAGCCCCGAAAAAGAGAGAGAGGGUGAGUGUUCGAAGAAAAACGCCACGCUCACAUAACGCAGUCUCAAGUGGAGAGCGGGAUAGGAGAGGAAGAAAACGGGAGGCAGGGAGAGGAGGCGGCGUAGUCUCCUCGUUUUGGAACAAUGGUCCGUUAAGUGAUCGCUCAUUUCGGCCUGACUCGCGGUACUUCCUUCUCGUCACACCAUUUUGUUUCCCGUCGCCCCCGAGCGCAUCGCUAUUGACGCAUGCGAAAGUCCUCCUACGCAUUCGUUUUCAUCAGCUCCCUCCCGUUUUCUUGCUGCUGUUUUUUUUUUCUUUCGGACUUCUUUCGAAAGCCCUUUCGCUGCAGUUCGGUAUGUUUCUGCUUCUUACGAAGCGCGCGUUCCUUUGUGCGUUCGCUGUUGUUGCGCUUCUGCUUCGGCUCUUCAUUAGGGCGUAGCGUACAGUCGUCAUUCUUCUUCCUCUCUUGGCGCCGUGCCUACGGGAGCGAUUGCGAACGCGAGCGGAUACGGCCAGCACGAAAAGCUUUCGCGAUCGUCGUUAGUGAGUCGAGAAAGAAAUGCCGAGAGGAAGGAGUGAACAGACGGCGACGGUCAGUGGACGGGGGACAUAGCUGCUCUUGCAGGACCGAGCUUCGCAGGCUUCAUAUGAAGGCAGCAGGCACUGACAGCAGCAGGUGCGAAAGGCCGGUGUUGCAGUGACCACAGCGGUGACACAGAGCCACCGCUCUGCGAUCACUUCGGCGGCAGUCAAGUGGUCAAGUAGGCACGCUCCAAAUUUGUCGGACAUCUCAUUCCGUGCUGGAAACACUGGGAGGUAGGAAGUUUGAAAAAACGACCACUGCCGCCCGCAAUGUCUCGGUCGUGGGUUCGUUCUGUACAUUUAUACUGGAUAUUAACUGGAGUCAUUUAGCUGUGCUGAUCCUGUUUGACGUGUGUUUUGCAUCAGUGCUUCGUGACAUCGGCUGUAUUACGUGUUUUCGCCGACGGCUUACUACCACAAUGGCGGGCUCUGCGUUCGCCGCCUUCGUGUCUCGGUGCGUCUUUGUACGUCGCACGUUCGGAUAACACUUUUUCCGGUAAGUGAAAUACAUUGCACUUCGUUUUUCGCCAACAAUGUGAAUAUCUUUAGGUGUUAUCCGCGACAAUUCUUGAUGGAUGGGCUCUUCUGCCCUGCGGGUUUUCGUCAUCUUUACUUUUAUACGAGGGCUCUGCUUGUUGCAAGGUUCUGGCUGGUGUUGUAUAAGUCGCGGGCCGCUUUUCUCGUUGCGACGAUAGAUUGAAUUUUUUACACGUACUGCUCCAGGAGGUCACAUGUAACCGGCAAACGGAGGCCUCAGGAGAGCACCUGAGAUUGUAAUAAAAGAGGCGGCGCAGGAUCUCCAGGGCACUCAAGGGGUAGCGGGGGAAUCAAAGAUGGAAGCCGGGCGGCCCGUGGGUUGGGGCCGUGGAUGCCGAAGCGUGCCAGGGGGUAUUCGCAAGAAAUAUUGGCUGUGCGCUAUCGCGGACAGCCGAUCUUAUACACCCCUGGCACAUGCAGCGCUCGGCGAGACCCACGGACCAGUCCGGGUUCUAGCAUUGAUGUCCUCCUUGCCGCUUUGGUGACCUGGAGGCGCCGCCAAUAAUGCGAAAUAAUGACACGUUGUUACAACUAGCAAAAAACACGAUUGAAUAAAUAUAAUUAAGUCCAGCCGCCUGCUUGUGAAGCCAAGUUCAGCACUACCGCGCUCCACGACUUCCGCAACACCAGUCAGAACUUUGCCAUGCCUGUUAGUCUCUGUGGUUAACGUAGCACGAAUCAGCCGAAGGAAGUGCAUUCGAAGACGACGCGCUGGCUGUAAUCCUGAACGAGACUGAACUCGCCCUAUUUUGUGUCCUUUUGCUCUUGCAUGGGUUACAGCUUUGCGUGCGCGCGCGCGUGUGUCAGUGACUAUGCAGCUUGUAGCGUUGCCACUUUAUGGUUUCCGCUUUAUGGCAAAACAAAAAUAUAACUGCAAUGUUUACUUUAUUUAUACAAUUUCAAAUGCAAUCGUCUGCUGAUCUAAAAAUUUCACUGGUGGUUUGUUCUAAAUAAGCAGCAAAACGUUUAGCCUGGUAGGUGCUUCAUCUGAGCGUGCAAUAACGACUGCUUGGCAUUUAUUAAUGAAUGACUGUGGGUCACCUCCCUUGCAAUUGCAAAUCUGUCUUUUAACUGGCUUGAUGCACUCUUAUUUUGUUCUUUUCACUCUAUACACGGCCAGGCAUCCUUCUUGUCCCUUGGUGCUAGCUGUACUGUGCCCUCUCUGGUCCUCCCAGUGCUUUGUAUAUGGGUUAACGCCAAGGAGCGCUUCGUGCUAAAAUAGCUAGCUGGUGUCUCACCAACGGGCAUUUUUUUCCACUGGUCCCUUAUAAGCUGCCACUAUUAUAACCAGUUUCUCAGUGCUAGUGUACAUACACACUUAUACUAAUAAUUAGUUUCCCUAAGCCUUACAAAAUUUAACUGUAGGUAGUUAGUGCUGUGUAAGAAUUCACAAAUUAACUCUGUUGUGUCAUACGAGUAUUCCAUACAUGAGUAAAAGUGUGCUCCAACAGUAUACACUACACCUUGCUUCCUUAAUGCACAAAUGUAUUCAAGCCAGUAUGCGAUUAGUUCUGUAUUCUAAAUGUUUUCUGUGUGAUUUAGUUUCUUUACAGGAAUUUACUGUACAGCAUCAGCAAGCAGUCUAAAUUAAGAUUUGUGUGCUGUAAAAGGUGUGCUUUGCCGCUACAAUUGAUAGAACAUGGGCCGAGGCUUCCAUACAAGGACGAACUUCAAUUUCACUCUACCACCUGCAGCACUUGGCUGGCGCUUGCAAAAUGAAUCACAUCAGGUAUUGCUUGCCUAUGUCUACAAGAACUGUUGUGUCGAGACAAGAACCUUCACACGUGGCCUGUGAUAGCAAGCUUUUGUGGGCAGCCAGUGCUCUCCUACGAAGGCUGGCCUGCUCUGGCAGCAGCGGCAAUCAUCUUCAAGAUUUAUCCAUGAUCACCUUUGCUGCUAUUUGUCACACUUGUUAAUUACACUUUCUGCAUCUUUUCUAAUUAGGUAAUAAAGUAUGACUAUGUGA